rnacentral:rRNA from 1 species
AUUGAACGCUGGCGGCAGGCCUAACACAUGCAAGUCGAGCGGAUGAAGGGAGCUUGCUCCUGGAUUCAGCGGCGGACGGGUGAGUAAUGCCUAGGAAUCUGCCUGGUAGUGGGGGAUAACGUCCGGAAACGGGCGCUAAUACCGCAUACGUCCUGAGGGAGAAAGUGGGGGAUCUUCGGACCUCACGCUAUCAGAUGAGCCUAGGUCGGAUUAGCUAGUUGGUGGGGUAAAGGCCUACCAAGGCGACGAUCCGUAACUGGUCUGAGUGGAUGAUCAGUCACACGUGAACUGAGAAAAGGGCCAGACUCCUAAGGGAGGCAGCAGUGGGGAAUAUUGGAAAAUGGGCGAAAGCCUGAUCCAGGCAAGCCGCGUGUGUGAAGAAGGUCUUCGGAUUGUAAAGCACUUUAAGUUGGGAGGAAGGGCAGUAAGUUAAUACCUUGCUGUUUUGACGUUACCAACAGAAUAAGCACCGGCUAACUUCGUG